GUACACGCUGUGACUAGCAUAUCAAUAAGCGGAGGAAAAGAAACUAACAAGGAUUCCCCUAGUAACGGCGAGUGAAGCGGGAAGAGCUCAAAUUUGAAAUCUUAAAGGGUUUCCCUUUACGAAUUGUAGUUUAAAGAAGUGUUUUCCUGUUGAGGUUUUGGUAAAAGUUCUUUGGAAUAGGACAUCAUAGAGGGUGAGAAUCCCGUAUUUGACCUUUACUUUCAACUUUGUGAUACACUUUCAAAGAGUCGGAUUGUUUGGGAAUGCAGUCCAAAAUGGGUGGUAAAUUUCAUCUAAAGCUAAAUAUUGGCGAGAGACCGAUAGCGAACAAGUACCGUGAGGGAAAGAUGAAAAGAACUUUGAAAAGAGAGUUAAACAGUACGUGAAAUUGUCAAAAGGGAAGCGUUUGACACCAGUGUUGUUUUUCUGAAAAUCAAUUAAAGAACUGUUUAUGCUAAGUUGUUUAGACUUUAUCAGCUAUCUGUUUAGUUUUGAGCUUUUCUUUAAUGCACUUUUCAGUUAACAAGUCAACAUCAAUUUCUUUUGCUGUAAAAAAGCUUGAGGAAGGUGGCUUGAGAUUCGUCUUAAGUGUUUAUAGCCUCUUGCCUAUGCAGUCGGAGAGAUUGAGGUUUGCAGCGUAGAUCCUUCGGGGCUAAAUGCAUUUGUGCUAAGUUAUAGCAUUUUAUAGACAACUUGUUGACUAUGAUUUGUCUUGUAGCUUACUCGCUUAUGUUAUUUUACCUACGCUUAGGAUGUUGACUGAUAUGUAGUCGUA
rnacentral:rRNA from 1 species